rnacentral:rRNA from 1 species
GAUGAACGCUAGCAGAACGCCUAACACAUGCAAGUCGAACGAACCAGCAAUGGUUAGUGGCAAACGGGCGAGUAACGCGUAUCUAACCUACCCUUGAGUGAGGCACAACUACAGAGAUGUAGCUAAUUCCUCAUACGUUCUAGAGAAUGAAAAUAUCUAGAAGAAAGAUUUAUCGCUCAGGGAGGGGGGUGCGUCCUAUCAGGUAGUUGGUGAGGUAACGGCUCACCAAGCCUAUGACGGGUAGCCGGUCUGAGAGGAUGUCCGGCCGCAAUGGAACUGAGAACGGUCCAUACUCCUACGGGAGGCAGCAGUGGGGAAUAUUGGACAAUGGGCGAAAGCCUGAUCCAGCGAUUCUGCGUGAAGGAUGAAGCCUUAUGGGGUGUAAACUUCUUUUCUGGGGGAAGACGAAUGACGGUACCUCAGGAAUAAGAGACGGCUAACUACGUG